CCUACGGGUGGCAGCAGUGGGGAAUAUUGGACAAUGGGCGAAAGCCUGAUCCAGCAAUGCCGCGUGUGUGAAGAAGGCCUUCGGGUUGUAAAGCACUUUGAUCUGGGAGGAAAAAGCUCUGGCUAAUAUCCAGUGCCUUGACAGUACCAGAGGAACAAGCACCGGCUAACUCUGUGCCAGCAGCCGCGGUAAUACAGAGGGUGCUAGCGUUAAUCGGAUUUACUGGGCGUAAAGCGUGUGUAGGCGGCUUGUUAAGUCGGAUGUGAAAGCCCUGG
rnacentral:rRNA from 1 species